rnacentral:rRNA from 1 species
GACGAACGCUGGCGGCGUGCUUAACACAUGCAAGUCGAACGGAAAGGCCCUGCUUUUGUGGGGUGCUCGAGUGGCGAACGGGUGAGUAACACGUGAGUAACCUGCCCUUGACUUUGGGAUAACUUCAGGAAACUGGGGCUAAUACCGGAUAGGAGCUCCUGCUGCAUGGUGGGGGUUGGAAAGUUUCGGCGGUUGGGGAUGGACUCGCGGCUUAUCAGCUUGUUGGUGGGGUAGUGGCUUACCAAGGCUUUGACGGGUAGCCGGCCUGAGAGGGUGACCGGCCACAUUUGGAAUGGGAAUACGGCCAGACUCCUACGGGAGGCAGCAGUGGGGAAUAUUGCACAAUGGGCGGAAGCCUGAUGCAGCAACGCCGCGUGCGGGAUGACGGCCUUCGGGUUGUAAACCGCUUUCGCCUGUGACGAAGCGUGAGUGACGGUAAUGGGUAAAGAAGCACCGGCUAACUACGUG